GAUGAACGCUGGCGGCGUGCCUAAUACAUGCAAGUCGAGCGAACAGACGAGGAGCUUGCUCCUCUGACGUUAGCGGCGGACGGGUGAGUAACACGUGGAUAACCUACCUAUAAGACUGGGAUAACUUCGGGAAACCGGAGCUAAUACCGGAUAAUAUAUUGAACCGCAUGGUUCAAUAGUGAAAGACGGUUUUGCUGUCACUUAUAGAUGGAUCCGCGCCGCAUUAGCUAGUUGGUAAGGUAACGGCUUACCAAGGAAACGAUGCGUAGCCGACCUGAGAGGGUGAUCGGCCACACUGGAACUGAGACACGGUCCAGACUCCUACGGGAGGCAGCAGUAGGGAAUCUUCCGCAAUGGGCGAAAGCCUGACGGAGCAACGCCGCGUGAGUGAUGAAGGUCUUCGGAUCGUAAAACUCUGUUAUUAGGGAAGAACAAAUGUGUAAGUAACUAUGCACGUCUUGACGGUACCUAAUCAGAAAGCCACGGCUAACUACGUG
rnacentral:rRNA from 1 species